rnacentral:rRNA from 1 species
ACUAUGGAGAGUUUGAUCCUGGCUCAGGAUGAACGCUAGCGGGAGGCUUAAUACAUGCAAGUCGAGGGGCAGCAUAGGACUUCGGUUCUGAUGGCGACCGGCGCACGGGUGAGUAACGCGUACACUACCUACCUUUAACAGAGGGAUAGCCCUGGGAAACUGGGAUUAAUACCACAUAGUAUUGCAUAUUUUAUUUUUAUGCAAUUAAAGCUCCGGCGGUUAAAGAUGGGUGUGCGUUAGAUUAGCUAGUUGGUAAGGUAAUGGCUUACCAAGGCUACGAUCUAUAGGGGGCGUGAGAGCGUGGACCCCCACACGGGUACUGAGACACGGACCCGACUCCUACGGGAGGCAGCAGUAAGGAAUAUUGGACAAUGGGCGCAAGCCUGAUCCAGCCAUCCCGCGUGAAGGAUGACGGCCCUAUGGGUUGUAAACUUCUUUUAUUAGGGAAGAAACCUUUUCAUUUAUGAAGAGCUGACGGUACCUAAAGAAUAAGCACCGGCUAACUCCGUGCCAGCAGCCGCGGUAAUACGGAGGGUGCAAGCGUUACCCGGAAUUAUUGGGCGUAAAGCGUCCGUAGGCGGCUU